GCAGAGGGCUGUCGCUGACUUUUUUGUCGUGCACGCCCGAGUGCUCUCACACAAUCCAUCUCACCCCUAUGUGCACCACCGCGUGGGUCCCUCUUUGGCUCGUUCCGAGGGGGGCUCGCGUUUUCACACAAACUCGAAGCAGUGUAGAAUGUCUCUUUUUUGCGAUGACACGCAAUCAAUACAACUUUCAACAACGGAUCUCUUGGCUCUCGCAUCGAUGAAGAACGCAGCGAAAUGCGAUACGUAAUGUGAAUUGCAGAAUUCAGUGAAUCAUCGAAUCUUUGAACGCACCUUGCGCCCCUUGGCAUUCCGAGGGGCACACCCGUUUGAGUGUCGUGAAAUUCUCAAAAACCCCUUCCUUUGGUGGAAAGGAUUUUUGGACUUGGAGGCCUUUUGCUGGUUUCACCUUGAAGCGAGCUCCUCCCAAAUGGAUUAGCGGGGUCUGCUUUGCCGAUCCCUGACGUGAUAAUACAUUUCUACGUCUUGGGUUUCUGCACUGUACCUCUGCUUCUAACCGUCUCAUUGACAACGAUGGUGUUCCGGUCACCGCCGAUUCAUCGGUGGGAGGCUUGACCCACAAAACGACCUUGACCUCAAAUCGGGUGAGACUACCCGCUGAACUUAAGCAUAUCA
rnacentral:rRNA from 1 species